rnacentral:lncRNA from 1 species
CCCGCCCGGAUUCCGAAGCCCGGAGCCGUUUACAGUUUGAGGCGCCGUGUGCCGCCCCCUGGUGGCCGGAGGCCGUUACUGUCGCGGCUGAGGGGGCGUCCCGGUGUAUCCGCAGCGCGCCCUGGCCGCCCUCUGGUGGCCGGAGGCCGUUACUGUCGCGGCUGAGGGGGCGUCCCGGUGUAUCCGCAGCGCGCCCUGGCCGCCCCCUGGUGGCCGGAGGCCGUUACUGUCGCGGCUGAGGGGGCGUCCCGGUGUAUCCGCAGCGCGCCCUGGCCGACCCCUGGUGGCCGGAGGCCGUUACUGUCGCGGCUGAAGGGGCGUGUCCCGGUGUAUCCGCAGCGCGCCCUGGCUGCCCCCUGGUGGCCGGAGGCCGUUACUGUCGCGGCUGAGGGGGCGUCCCGGUGUAUCCGCAGCGCGCCCUGUCCCGCCAUAUACAUUCCGUGCUUUUCAAACACCCGCCGUGGGCUAAGCAUGGGACCCACGUGGGGCGGGGACACACGGCGAUAAAGAGCCAGGCCCUCGCUGCCAAGGAGCUUUCCCGUAACACCGAUGCAUCAAACAAAAGUUGAUAGGCCACUGAGCUAUGGGCAGCCACAUGUGUUCCUGAUGGAAGGGACUGAGUAUCUCCCAGAGAUCCUGGACACGAGGAGACAUGCUGUGAGUGGAUGUCUGGAAGCCAGUCCUGAGAGAGAAGACUCUAAAUCCAGAAUUUCUUCAGGCAUUUCAAACAUUUCUAUGUUGUGUGCAUUAUAUAAACAACACCUAUAUAACUUGUCUUAAGAAAAUAAAAGCAACAAGAUUAACUGAUCCCUUGGAGUGCAUAUUGGGCCAUGGGCAAUGUUCACGGGCUCCCUUCAAACUCUAGAAACACAGAGGAUACAACUUUUACAUUUUAACACACAAACCUCAGGGGCUCCAUCUCAAUCUAUAAUCACUCUUGGGAAAGGGGUGAAUUUGGUCACACUGUUUUGUGCUUCUAAAGUUUUAGAUUUUUUUCAUUUUUCUCAUGCAAUAUUUUAAGAUAAAAUAUCUUUACUCUUACUUUUUCUCCUUUGAGGGAC